rnacentral:lncRNA from 1 species
UUUGCUCACAUACACACACAUUUCUCAAUGAUACAUUAGAAAAUUUAGUCACUAAUUAUAAGCCAGACUAAUGCUUAAAUAUGGUAAAUAAAAGAUAUAUUAACAACGUUAUGAUAAAAUGCUAGCAAAUGUUCCAUGAAUUUUAUAGGGAGCUGUAGUCAGGUGUUAUAAUGAGCAUGGUGGCAGUGUAGAGGAGAGAAUUCCCCACUUUCCCGAGUAUAAGCAAAACCUUCAGGGAGAAGAUGAGACCAUCAGUUUUGAAAAGUUAUCAAGCAGAGAUUGAGUCAAGUAGUCAGUAAAUAAUAACUCAUUGUGAAAUUGGGUGACUAAUGUGAAGUACAAUGGUGAGAACAUUAGUUUCAUUGGAUAUUAACAAGAACAUCUGAAUAGGCAAGACAAACACUUAACCUAAACAGGUUACAAAAAAAAAAAAAAAACACACACACACACACUUUGACAUUUUCCUUGUUACAUUUUUUAGUUCAUUUCAGUAUAUCUCAGUGUUUUCUCUUUCUUCAUAGGAACUGAAAUUUUUCAAGCCAGUGAAAGACUAUGGAGUCUGUUAUGAAAAUUACUAAAAUAUACUAAUCUGGAGUACAGUUUUCUUAGGAACGCCUUUUGAAGAUGCUGAUUCAUGGUCUUUCCUCUUUUGACAUGAGUAACGUGGACUUCAGGAUGUGAACUAUUUUGCAAAAUGCCUCCUGCAGUUGGUUGUGGCAUCUGUUUAUGGUGAUUGGAGAUCUAGCACAUCAUGCCUGCAAAUGCUCUUCCCUCAUUUUCACUGCCAAAGCUCUUCAAAAGUCAUCUCCAUUGCCAAAAUUUCUUGGGAUAAAUCACAUAUUUCAAAUGCUUCUUCAGGAUUCCAAUGUGAACAUGCAAUAUAUAGGUGCUAUAAAUUACAUAGAAGAGACAGUGUUUAAGGGAGGAAUUGUCUGUAAUUCAUCAUCUGUGUCUGGAACAAGGCCCAGACAAGGUAUAGAAUUUUGAAUGAAUAAAUGAAUACAUGAAUGAAUAUAAAUAAAUAGU